rnacentral:rRNA from 1 species
GAAAGCAAAGAAGGGCAUAUGGAGGAUGCCUAGGCUCUCGAAGGCGAAGAAGGACGUGAUAAGCUGCGAAAAGCUCCGGGGAGUGGCAAAUACACCGAGAUCCGGAGAUAUCCGAAUGGGGCAACCCGUCGAGGCUCGACCUCGACACACGCGAAUGCGUGGGCGAACGUGGGGAACUGAAACAUCUAAGUACCCAUAGGAAGAGAAAAUAACAAUGAUUCCGCAAGUAGUGGCGAGCGAACGCGGAAGAGCCCAAACCGCAGGCGUAGCAAUGCGCCGUGCGGGGUUAUAGGACCGGCGCCACGAAGAACCGAAUGCUAGCCGAACCGACUGGAAAGUCGGGCCGCAGCGGGUGACAGCCCCGUAGGCGAAAGCGUUCAGCGAUUCCAGCCGGCACCUGAGUAACCCGGAGCACGAGGAAUUCCGGGCGAAUUAGCGGGGACCAUCCCGUAAGGCUAAAUACUAACGAGAGACCGAUAGCGAACCAGUACCGUGAGGGAAAGGUGAAAAGAACCUCGAACAGAGGAGUGCAACAGACCCUGAAACCAUAUGCCUACAAGCGGUCGGAGCGGCUUCGUGCCGUGACGGCGUGCCUUUUGCAUAAUGAACCUACGAGUCACCGUCGUUGGCAAGGUUAAGGACAAGGAUGUCCGGAGCCGAAGCGAAAGCGAGUCCGAACAGGGCGCCGGAGUCAGCGGAGGUGGACGCGAAACCAAGUGAUCUACCCUUGGGCAGGUUGAAGGACAGGUAAAACUGUCUGGAGGACCGAACCGGUAAGCGUUGAAAAGCUUUCGGAUGACCUGAGGGUAGGAGUGAAAGGCCAAUCAAACUUGGAGAUAGCUCGUACUCCCCGAAAUGUAUUUAGGUGCAGCCUCGGAGAGAAUCUGACGGAGGUAGAGCGACUGAUAGGAUGCGAGGGCUUCACCGCCUAUCAAGUCCUGACAAACUCCGAAUGCCGUCAGACAUAUCCGGGAGUAAGGGCGCGGGUGCUAAGGUCCGCGUCCGAGAGAGGAACAACUCAGACCAUCGGCUAAGGUCCCGAAAUCCGGGCUAAGUUGAAGACAAUAACGAGGUGGGAUUGCAUAGACAGCUAGGAUGUUGGCUUGGAAGCAGCCAUUCAUUUAAAGAGUGCGUAACAGCUCACUAGUCGAGUGAUCCCGCGUGGAUAAUAAUCGGGCAUAAGUCCGGUACCGAAGCCAUGGAAUCACGCUUUGUGCGUGAUUGGUAGGGGAGCAUUCCGUACAGCGACGAAGGUCGGUGGCGAUGCCGGCUGGAGCGUACGGAAAAGCAAAUGUAGGUAUAAGUAACGAUAAUGGAGGCGAGAAACCUCCACGCCGAAAGACCAAGGUUUCCUGAUCAACGCUAAUCGGAUCAGGGUAAGUCGGGGCCUAAGGGGCAGCCGCGAGGCGGACCCGAUGGAAGAAACGGUAAAGAUUCCGUUACUGUCGCCGGGAGUGAAGCGGGGACGGAGGAGUGACACCGCCGCGGACUGACGGAAUAGUCCGUUGAAGAGUGUAGGUAUUCGGAGGCCAGGCAAAUCCGGCCUUCGAGCUGAACUUGACAGUACUGCGAGCCUUCGGGCAAGCAGACAGCGCGGGUAAUCAGACUCCCAAGAAAAUCCGCUAAACAUAUGUCGGCGACACCCGUACCGAAACGGACACACGUGGUCGGGUAGAACAUACUAAGGCGCUCGAGAGAUUCACCGUUAAGGAACUAGGCAAAUUGACCUCGUAACUUCGGGAUAAGGGGUCCCACAGCGAUGUGGGCGCAGAGAAUAGGUCCAGGCAACUGUUUAACAAAAACACAGGGCUGUGCGAAAUUUAAAGAUGAAGUAUACAGCCUGACACCUGCCCGGUGCCGGAAGGUUAAGAGGAGAAGUCAUCGCAAGAGAAGCUUUGAAUUGAAGCCCCGGUAAACGGCGGCCGUAACUAUAACGGUCCUAAGGUAGCGAAAUUCCUUGUCGGGU